CCUGUUCCAUAGUAUUCUUCCCUCCCUUUUCCAUAGUGUUCUUUCCCCUCCCCUUUCCCAUAGUGUUCUUUCCCUUCCCUCCCCUGUCCCAUAGUAGUGUUCUUUCCCCUCCCUCCCCUAUCCCUUAGUGUUCUUUCCCCUCCGUCCCUCCCCUGUCCCAUAGUGUUCUUUUCCCUCCCUUCCUCCCCUGUCCCGUAGUGUUCUUCCCCAGCCCACUAUCCCAUAGUGUUCUCCCCCUCUCCCGUCCCAUAGUGUUCUCCCCCCGUCCCAUAGUGCUCUUUCCCCCUCUCCCCUUUACCAUAGGGUUUUUCCCCCUCUCCACCUUAGUGUUCCUUCCCCCCAUCCCUUAGUGCCCAUCCCCUGGUCCCCGGUGUGUCUCCUACCUUUCUGGUAGCGUGGCUGAGCGGAGCGGUGCACACUGCGGUACAGAAGCUUCAGUUGCCUGGCUGACAGAACGUGCUCUCUCAACCUGUCUGAUGCUGUUCUGUGCUGCAAUUGUUAGGCUGUGGGUCAUAAAAUAUCCCAAAUUAGCAUUAACAGCUCUGAAAUGACUCCGCGUGAGUCAGUAGCUUUAAAUGAAUAUUCAUGUUCAUACUGUAGAUUCUUAUCUUGGAUCCUCAGAUUUGUUUUCUUGUGCACAGUUAAUCCUAAUAAGGAAGCUGUAUUAGUUGGCGCUUUACGAUACGGAUGAAUGCAGCUGCGAUAGUUUCUAAUUUUCUUUUACUGUCAUCACAACGUUUAGAAUGUAAGUGAAAAGAUUAUAUUCUUUAUUAGGCAUCACUUUUUUUUCCCAUCAUUAUCUAAAGCUAACAUCUGUGAACAAAAACGGUGAAAUCUGAAAAACAACUGAAAUGGCAUUGCUCCACAUAGAUGUUGAAAUUUCAGUUCAGUUCAGGAUCCCUAAAUUAUGGUACUAAGCUUUUACUAGUUUUUCUGUAUAAGGCCAAGAAAUUUGUUUUGUGAGCAUUUUGUUCUAAAAUAAAUAAAUAUAUUCUUGCAAAAAAAACAAAAUGUGGUUAUGAUGUCCGAAUUUUCUCUAAUUUCAGUUCAGGUACUAGAUAAACCCACUUGAGGAGAACGUUUAGA